GAUGAACGCUAGCGGCAGGCCUAACACAUGCAAGUCGAGGGGUAGAGGUUGCUUGCAACCUUGAGACCGGCGCACGGGUGCGUAACGCGUAUGCAAUCUGCCUUGUACUGAGGGAUAGCCCAGAGAAAUUUGGAUUAAUACCUCAUAGUAUCUUUUCCCGGCCUCGGGAGAUUAUUAAAGUUCCAACGGUACAAGAUGAGCAUGCGUCCCAUUAGCUAGUUGGUAUGGUAACGGCAUACCAAGGCAAUGAUGGGUAGGGGUCCUGAGAAGGCGACCCACGAGACUGGUACUAGGGAACGCACAAUGCUCCUACGGGAAGCAUCAGUGAGAAAUUUGGUUUAAUGGGCGUAAGCCUGAACCAGCCAGGCGGCGUGCAGGAUGAAGCAUUUAUGGGGUCUAUAUUGCUUUUAAACAGGAAGAAGCACCGGUUCGUGAAACGGCUUUACGUUACCGUAGGAGUAAGGGUCGGCUAUGAGCGAGGCAGCAACCCUCGUAA
rnacentral:rRNA from 1 species